AUUGAACGCUGGCGGUAGGCUUAACACAUUCAAGUCGAGCGAGCGGCGGACGGGUGAGUAGUGUCUGGGAAACUUCCUGAUGGAGGGGGAUAACUACUGGAAACGGUAGCUAAUCCCUCAUACCCUCCGAUGUGCCCGGAUGGGAAUAGCUCGUAGGUGUGGUAAUGGCUCACCUAGUCGACGAUCCCUAGCUGGUCUGCGAGGAUGACGAGCAACACUGGAACUGAUACAGGGUCCAGACGCCUACGGGAGGCAGCAGUGGGAAAUAUUGCACAAUGGGCGCAAGCCUGAUACAGCCAUGCCGCGUGUGUGAAGAAGGCCUUCGGGUUGUAAAGCACUUUCAGCGAGGAGGCGUUACUCGCAGAAGAAGCACCGGCUAACUCCGUGCCAGCAGCCGCGGUAAUAC
rnacentral:rRNA from 1 species